CCCUUAGAUGUUCUGGGCGGCCCGCGCACUACAUUGGCACUCUCAAUAAGUUCCUAGAUCUAAAACUUUGGGGUAUUCUAUUAAGUGGUGUCGUGACUGGGAUUAACCCUUGCAAUUAUUGGUUACGAACGAGGAAUUCCUUGUAAUCGCGGUUUAUCAGCCCGCGUCGAAUGCGUCCCUGCCCUUUGUACACACCGCCCGUCGCUCCUACCGAUGAAUCGUCCGGUGAAGUUCAUGGAGUGGUGGUUGUUCCAGCUGCUGUCGAAGUGAAAUGGACCUCACGAUUUAGAGGAAGGAGAAGUCGUAACA
rnacentral:rRNA from 1 species